AUUGAACGCUGGCGGCAGGCCUAACACAUGCAAGUCGAACGAGUGGCGGACGGGUGAGUAAUGUCUGGGAAACUGCCUGAUGGAGGGGGAUAACUACUGGAAACGGUAGCUAAUACCGCAUACCAUCGGAUGUGCCCAGAUGUGAUUAGCUGGUAGGUGGGGGAAAGGCUCACCUAGGCGACGAUCCCUAGCUGGUCUGAGAGGAUGACCAGCCACACGGGAACUAGAAAACGGUCCCGACUCCUACGGGAGGCAGCAGUAGGGAAUAUUUCACAAGUGGCGCAUGCCUGAUGCAGCCAUGCCGCGUGUAUGAAUAAGGCCUUCGGGUUGUAAAGUACUUUCAGCGGGAAGGCGUUACCCGAAGAAAAAGCACCGGCUAACUCCGUGCCAGCUGCCGCGGUAAUAC
rnacentral:rRNA from 1 species